rnacentral:piRNA from 2 species
UGCUGGGAAUUGAACUCAGGACCUCUGG